rnacentral:rRNA from 1 species
CCAAGGAGUCUAGCAUGUGCGCGAGUCAUUGGGAAUCACAAAACCUAAAGGCGCAAUGAAAGUAAAGGUUCGCUUAAGCGAACUGAGGGAUGAUGGACCGCAUCUACGGAUGCGUGCUCGCAAUCCCGGGGCGUCUCGCUCUCAUUGCGAGAAGAGGCGCACCCAGAGCGUACACGCUGGGACCCGAAAGAUGGUGAACUAUGCCUGGUCAGGUCGAAGUCAGGGGAAACCCUGAUGGAGGACCGUAGCGAUUCUGACGUGCAAAUCGAUCGUCGGAACUGGGUAUAGGGGCGAAAGACUAA